rnacentral:lncRNA from 14 species
GAGAGAUUGGAGAGGUAGAUUCGCACGGUGAUAGUGCAAGCAGCUUGCUUCUAAUUAAAUAUGCGACUGAGUCUCAAAGCAUUCGCUUUCAGCCGCAGAGAGAAGAAGCUGCCCAAGAAUGGAAAGGAAGAAAUAUAUCACAUCAUCUGUCUGUCCACAGGCUUUCCUCUGGGCUUAUGGAGAUUUCCUAGGGGUAAUUAUUUCCCACUGACUCAGACCACAGGACAGUGUGAGCACCUAACAAAUAGGACUGCAGUUAAGAGCUAGGGCUAGGACUUGGAGGAUGUGUAGGCAAACGGAAAGAGAGCCGGGGGAAGAAAAACCGAAAUGGAUUCAUUCUCUGUCCUGGAUGGAGGAGGAGAGGAGAAGAGAAGGGGACGUGCGAGCUUCCUUCAACUGCCUCUGUCCGGUGAAAAGUGCUCAGACCCCCGGGGCUGCGCCGGACUCCGGAGUCCGCGCGGACUUUCGCGUUGAGCUGCCAAUCAAACCGCUCGCAGCCACCACCCUGCUCUGGCACCGACAUCCAGCUUCCCGGUCUGCCUCUGCUUCCGCCCACCCGCGUGUGUAUUCCCAACCAAGCAAACCUCCAUACCCAGAGGAAAGGCACAAAAUGCCCUAAAAGAGCCAUCGCCCUCACCUUAUUUCCUGUAUUGCACUACUAUGUAUAUAUGCCAGUUUAUUGCAUCGAUAAUUAAAAGUGUUAAUUAAAAUAGAGCCGUAAAUACUCCCGAUAGCACAAUUGUUAGGCAUUUCCUAUCCUUUAUUCCUAUGAUAAAUGCAAUUAGGAAAGGACCAGGCCCCGAAAGGCUCUCAGUGAGCACAGGGCAGCCCACGGUGCCUGGUCCUGCGUGGAGCUCUGGGCCGUGUACCCCACGCACCUCCCGCAGCUACAGCCAGAGCAAAAAUAACCCCUUGCCUGCGCACCGCCAGCCCUCGCUUAUCGGUUUAGCACAAUGAGCAAGCACCUACACCGCCCACCCACCCCCUUAAAAAAAAAAUCAAAAUAAUU